rnacentral:sRNA from 1 species
CCGCCUAGCGCGCCGAGCUCCAUCCAGUAGGCGGGGGAAACCAUUAGUGGAUGGAGACGGGGGACCCACCGGUCCACCGUGAUCGGACCGGGGCCGCAUGCGGCCCCUUGGGGUGAAGCCGCCGUCGGCUCUCAGGAGCGCGACGUCGGCCGGGUAGCCUCUCCCACCCGAACCCGACAGCUGACCUCGCAGGCGCGUGACGAGAGAGGGA